GCUGGGUGUGGUAGUGCACACCCGUAAUCCCAGUGACUUGGGAAGCUGAGGCAGGAGGAUUGCAAGUUCUAGGCCAGCCUCAGCAACUUAGUGAGGCCCUAAGCAACUUAGCAAGAUCUUGUCUCAA
rnacentral:sRNA from 1 species